rnacentral:rRNA from 1 species
UACGGGGGGGGCUAGCGUUGUUCGGAAUUACUGGGCGUAAAGGGCGCGUAGGCGGUUUGCUAAGUUGGAUGUGAAAACUCUGGGCUUAACCCAGAGCCUGCAUUCAAUACUGACAGGCUAGAGUUCUGGAGGGGAUAGCGGAAUUCCUGGUGUAGCGGUGAAAUGCGUAGAUAUCAGGAAGAACACCCGUGGCGAAGGCGGCUCUCUGGGACGGUACUGACGCUGAGACGCGAAAGCGUGGGGAGCGAACAGG